GCCCUCUUGGCUCAGUGGUAAAGCGCAUCACUAGUAAUAUCUAGGUGAAUGAUGAGAUCACUGGUUCGAUUCCAGUAGGGGGCA
rnacentral:tRNA from 1 species